rnacentral:rRNA from 1 species
GUUCCUUGGAAAAGGACAGCUGAGAGGGUGAGACUCCCGUCCGCCUGGCAGAGUGAGCCUUUGUCAAAGAGUCGAGUUGUUUGGGAUUGCAGCUCUAAUUUGGUGGUAAAUUCCAUCUAAAGCUAAAUAUUGGUGGGAGACCGAUAGCGUACAAGUACCGUGAGGGAAAGAUGCAAAGAACUUUGAAAAGAGAGUUAAAGAGUACCUGAAAUUGCUGAAACGGAAGCGAAGGAAACCAGUGUUUGUUGGUUCAUAUUUCCCUUGUCACUUGUGAUGUGGGCGCUGUGAGCUUGCGUGGGUUUGCUUUGGUUGAUUCCUUUGGAAGAGCGCAGUCAGAGUUGAUGUCU